CAACAAAAACUUUAAAGCAAACACGGAAAAGCAUCCAGUAUUCUAAGAUGUAUCCAGACUAGAACAUUCAAUGUUUGUGUUAAAAUACUUUAG